rnacentral:rRNA from 1 species
UACGUAGGUGGCAAGCGUUGUCCGGAUUUAUUGGGUUUAAAGGGUGCGUAGGCGGCUUUGUAAGUCAGUGGUGAAAUAUGGCAGCUCAACUGUCAGGGUGCCAUUGAUACUGCGGAGCUUGAGUACAGAUGAGGUAGGCGGAAUUGACGGUGUAGCGGUGAAAUGCUUAGAUAUCGUCAAGAACACCGAUAGCGAAGGCAGCUUACUGGGCUGUAACUGACGCUGAGACGCGAAGGCGUGGGGAGCGAACGGG